rnacentral:rRNA from 1 species
UACGGAGGGUGCAAGCAUUAAUCGGAUUUAUUGGGCGUAAAGGGCGCGUAGGCUGGUUUGUAAGUCAGAUGUGAAAUCCCGGGGCUCAACCUCGGAACAGCAUUUGAAACUGCAUACCUAGAGGGUAGGCGGAGAAAACGGAAUUCCACAAGUAGCGGUGAAAUGCGUAGAUAUGUGGAAGAACACCGGUGGCGAAGGCGGUUCUCUGGGCCUGACCUGACGCUGAGGAGCGAAAGCGUGGGUAGCAAACAGG